ensembl:lncRNA
GGCCUUGUUGGAUUGGGUGUGGCCUUGUUGGAGUAGGUGUGGCCUUGUUGGAGUAGGUGUGGCCUUGUUGGAGUAGGUAUGACCUUGUUGGAGUAGGUGUGACCUUGUUGUAUUGGGUUUGGCCUUGUUGGAGUAGGUGUGGCCUUGUUGGAGUAGGUGUGACCUUGUUGGAGUAGGUGUGACCUUGUUGGAAUAGGUGUGGCAUUGUUGGAGUAGGUGUGGCCUUGUUGGAGUGGGUGUGGCCUUGUUGAAGUAGGUGUGGCCUUGUUGGAGUUGGUGUGGCCUUGUUGGAGUAGGUGUGGCCUUGUUGGAGUAGGUGUGGCCUUGUUGGUGUAGGUGUGACUUUGUUGGAAGAAGUGUGCUACUGUGGUGGCUUUGCAUUGAGAUUUGUAUAUACUCAAACUAUGCUCAGUGGUACAGACAAUCCCUUUCUGCUGUCUGUGCAUCAAGAACUUUGGGCUCCUCCAGCACAAAGUCUGCCUGGAUGCUCCCAUGAUUCCUGCCAUGAUGAAAAUAUACUGAACCUCUGAAACUGUAAGCCAGCUGCAGUGGAAUCUUGUCCUUU